rnacentral:rRNA from 1 species
UACGGGGGGGAGCAAGUGUUGUUCGGAUUUACUGGGCGUAAAGGGCGCGUAGGCGGUCGUGACAAGUCACUUGUGAAAUCUCCGGGCUUAACUCGGAACGGUCAAGUGAUACUGUCGGACUAGAGUACAGAAGGGGCAACUGGAAUUCUCGGUGUAGCGGUGAAAUGCGUAGAUAUCGAGAGGAACACCUGCGGCGAAGGCGGGUAGCUGGGCCGACACGUGACGCUGAGGCGCGAAAGCCAGGGGAGCGAACGGG